UGGGGAAUUUUGGACAAUGGGGGCAACCCUGAUCCAGCAACGCCGCGUGAGUGAAGAAGGCCUUCGGGUUGUAAAGCUCUUUUGGCAGGGAAGAAAUUGCUUUGGUUAAUACCUAGAGUGGAUGACGGUACCUGCAGAAUAAGCACCGGCUAACUACGUGCCAGCAGCCGCGGUAAUACGUAGGGUGCAAGCGUUAAUCGGAAUUACUGGGCGUAAAGCGAGCGCAGGCGGUUCUGUAAGACAGAUGUGAAAGCCCCGGGCUUAACCUGGGAAUUGCAUUUGUGACUGCAGGGCUAGAGUGUGUCAGAGGGAGGUAGAAUUCCGCGUGUAGCAGUGAAAUGCGCAGAUAUGCGGAGGAAUACCGGUGGCGAAGGCGGCCUCCUGGGAUAACACUGACGCU
rnacentral:rRNA from 1 species